rnacentral:rRNA from 1 species
AUUGAACGCUGGCGGUAUGCCUUACACAUGCAAGUCGAACGGUAGAGGAGCAAUCCUUGAGAGUGGCGAACGGGUGAGUAAAGCAUCGGAACGUACCCAGUUGUGGGGGAUAACGUAGCGAAAGUUACGCUAAUACCGCAUACGCACUGAGGUGGAAAGCGGGGGAUCGCAAGACCUCGCGCAAUUGGAGCGGCCGAUGUCGGAUUAGCUUGUUGGUGGGGGUAAAAAGCCUACCAAGGCGACGAUCCGUAGCUGGUCUGAGAGGACGACCAGCCACACUGGGACUGAGACACGGCCCAGACUCCUACGGGAGGCAGCAGUGGGGAAUUUUGGACAAUGGGCGAAAGCCUGAUCCAGCCAUGCCGCGUGAGUGAAGAAGGCCUUC